rnacentral:misc_RNA from 1 species
ACAUAAGUUGUGUUUUUAUUUCAUAAAAGAUGGAUGUUUAAAAAUUUCAAAGUGUUUUCGUAGGAACGUUAUAUAUGAAAUAAGUAGCGGAGACAUCCCUUUACAUCCGGUGGAUAUAAAUAUGGCAUCGCCGUGGGAAUUCGGAGAAGUAGCAUUUUCUCUGCCCGAGCUGCCCGAACAUCCCGGGAUGAAGGAACACACGUACGGAUGGUACCCGGCUGUACGGGAUGUGUACACGGAGAGGAGACUGGGCGUGCCCUCAGCAUAUGAAUUGGAGGCGAUGUACAAGUUCCGGGACAGUAAAUAUUACACGGCGCCCAACCCACCAUCUCCUCGAACACCAAAACCGUACCAACCGACGCCGACGCCGACUAAACACAGACCGACGUCCAGUACGUCGUCUAAAUCCGGUCGGGAUUCCGGACUGCAGGUGCGUGCAAAGAGUGCACCUCUAUAUAAUUUUAAAAGGGUUGCUCGUUUAGAGCUUCCCACACCCCUCCAAUGCUGGGCUACCAGCAGUGUGUCGGAGACGGAGGCUGGGGAAACGCCCAGCUCUCAGACUUUACCGACCCCUACCCCUUAUCCACCUAAAGAAGAAACACCAAAGGAGGAACAGAAACAGGCGCGACGAGACAGAAUUAAGAGUGCUGUGAUGCGACGUGACCGAGCGCAGGCGCCUAAGCGCCCAGUCAAGUCAGCUGGGCCAACUCGCUCACCUGUGGAGGUGUAUCAGGCCCAUAUACCGAAGGAGGGCAGUGUGCCCGUGCCCCCCUCAUCACCUGCCCCGGAAGUAUAUUACAUACCGGAAGAACCUACUUGCCGCCCUACCACGGCGGAAAUUUAUGACAAAAAUGUCAAAGAAUACGGGUGGAGGUUCGAAGUUCAUGGGGAUCCAUACAAAUUAAAGAAGAAGACACUAUCCAAGCGUCUGCCGUACUACGUGACUGUCCCGGAACCAGAGAUCGAGCGGGACGGUCCAAAGGUCAAGAUGGAAAACAUGGAUACCUUCUUUUACAACACUAUCCCCAGACGUCCCGCCACCUUCACUAUCCAUCAGGAGUGGAUCUCGGAAACGAUACACGCCCAGCGCAUGGAGCUGCAAAAACGGGAGGGCAUCAAACACAGAUGGAAGAACUUUAGUUUCGUUUAUUAGGAAUCGUUAAUUACACAUAGUUUAUUAUCAACUGACCUUUAUAUAUUAUUUUCAAAUUAGAUUUUUCAAAGCAAUUGUUUAUAUUUCGUUAUAAUAUUUUGUCCGGUUAUAUUUAUAUCAAACUGUGAUAAAACAAUUACUGCUGCGCCCCUAUAGAACUUUGGAUAUCUCGUGUGUUUGUUUAAUUGUUUAAGGAGAUGUACAUGUAUUCACUAGAUGGCGCCCUCACCUCGUGCUUGUUUCCAUUAGGGCGCCAUCCGGGAAUGUUCUGUUACAUGUUGGGGAUCACCAUUCCUUUUAGGGCGAGUGCUCAGGUAUGGAUACGUCAUGACAUAACCGUUCGUUGUUCUCCAGUUCAUGUGCAAAUCUUCAUAGAAAACAUGGUACACAAAGAAGUAUGUCACUUUCAUGUCAAUAUAUACAGCGUUCUGUGAAAGUUUAAAGAAUAUGCCAGACAGGUAUCGAUGUCCUUCCUGUAUUCAAACUACAUGUAUUCUUAUAAUCUCGUAGUCUGCAGUUCAUCACCACCCCGAUAUUGAUGACAUGCCUUUCCUCAGCAGUAAAGUAUUAGGGCUUUCCUCUGCUUGUACAUGCAAUGAACAGUUCGCCUCUAUCAUAUCGUCUAGGUUCAUGCUAACACUGCAAGGGAUUCGCCCCUAUCUUAUAGCCUAGGUUUAUGCUACCACUCAAAGGGAUUCGCCCCUAUCUUAUAGCCUAGGUUCAUGCUACCACUUAAAGGGGUUCACCCCUAUCUUAUAGCCUAGGUUUAUGUUACCACUCAACGGGGUUCAUUACACAAUUGAGCGUUUCAGUCCAUUUCGUAUAUAUUUCGUGACUGUUAAAACUCAUUGUUGAUACAAAAACAAGUCCUGUAUGCAGGUUCAAUAGUUAUGAACAUGGCGAUAUUGUUCUCAAGUUGGAUCAGGGAUAUUAUAUGUAGAGUGUAUGUGUGUAUAUAAAAAGUGACGUAUUCUUCAAUAUUCCGUCCAGUUAAAGGAAGUCUGUCGGGAUGAUGUGUGGAGUCUUGAAGUUCCCAUCAACUACACAGUUGUGUCGAGUGAGAUAUGACUGUGGUUACUGGAAAUCACUUUAUUUUCAUGUGUACCUAUUUUAUCUGUACCUAUUUUCACGACUUUUCUUUUCACUAAGAUAUUAAUUUGCGAAAUAAACGACAACGUAUAGAUCACUUGUCUAAAUAUUCGCGAGCUUUUUGAAGUAGCAAUUUGCCUCUCUGCAAAGUCCACGAAGAUAAGUAUCUCGUAAAUAAGGAGUGAUUUUCAGUAACUGUUCCGCUUUAAAACUGCCUUUUUGUUAUGUCUUAUGUCAUGUUUCCUUUUUGUUUAUAUUCCUUUCCUCGCAGAACCAUCUCAUGCCGACAUAGUCCGCCAUAACAACGCCAUACACCUAGUUAAACGACGCCAUACACCUAGUUAAACAACGCCAUACACCUAGUUAAACAACGCC